rnacentral:rRNA from 1 species
GAUGGGAAACAGAUUAAUAUUUCUGUACUUCUAUAUAUUGCGAAGGAGGGACGGAGUAGGCUAGGUGAGCACGGCGUUGGUAGUCCGUGUGAAAGUAUGUAGGCGGUUGACUUAGGUAAAUCCGGGUCUUCAUUAACGCUGAGAUACGAGACGAGUGUCCAAGGACAUGAAGUCAUUGAUGCCAUGCUUCCAGGAAAAGCUUCUAAGCUUCAGAUAUAUAGGAACCGUACCCCAAACCGACACAGGUGGUUAGGUAGAGAAUACUAAGGCGCUUGAGAGAACUCGGGUGAAGGAACUAGGCAAAAUAGUACCGUAACUUCGGGAGAAGGUACGCUCUCUAAUGUGAAUGACUUGCUCAGUAAGCAUCGGAGAGUCGAAGUAACCAGGUGGCUGGAACUGUUUAUUAAAAACACAGCACUGUGCAAAAUCGAAAGAUGACGUAUACGGUGUGACGCCUGCCCGGUGCCGGAAGGUUAAUUGAUUGGGUUAGCUCUGCGAAGCUCAUGAUCGAAGCCCCGGUAAACGGCGGCCGUAACUAUAACGGUCCUAAGGUAGCGAAAUUCCUUGUCGGGUAAGUUCCGACCUGCACGAAUGGCGUAAUCAUGGCCACACUGUCUCCACCCGAGACUCAGUGAAAUUGAAAUUGCGGUUAAGAUGCCGUAUACCCGCGGCUAGACGGAAAGACCCCGUGAACCUUUACUAUAGCUUGACAGUGAACAUUGCUCCUACAUGUGUAGGAUAGGUGGGAGGCUUUGAAACUUUGUCGCCAGAUGAAGUGGAGCCAACCUUGAAAUACCACCCUUGUAUGCGUGAUGUUCUAACCUAGGGCCCUAAUCGGGCUUGGGGACACUGUCUGGUGGGUAGUUUGACUGGGGCGGUCUCCUCCUAAAGAGUAACGGAGGAGCACGAAGGUUGGCUAAGUACGGUCGGACAUCGUACGGUUAGUGCAAUGGCAUAAGCCAGCUUAACUGCGAGACAGACACGUCGAGCAGGUACGAAAGUAGGUCAUAGUGAUC